rnacentral:miRNA from 1 species
UCGGCAACUCCUCACUCACCGU